AUUGAACGCUGGCGGCAGGCCUAACACAUGCAAGUCGAGCGGAUGAAGGGAGCUUGCUCCUGGAUUCAGCGGCGGACGGGUGAGUAAUGCCUAGGAAUCUGCCUGGUAGUGGGGGAUAACGUCCGGAAACGGGCGCUAAUACCGCAUACGUCCUGAGGGAGAAAGUGGGGGAUCUUCGGACCUCACGCUAUCAGAUGAGCCUAGGUGGGAUUAGCUAGUUGGUGGGUUAAAGGCCUACCAAGGCGACGAUCCGUAACUGGUCUGAGAGGAUGAUCAGUCACACUGGAACUGAGACACGGUCCAGACUCCUACGGGAGGCAGCAGUGGGGAAUAUUGGACAAAGGGCGAAAGCCUGAUCCAGCCAUGCCGCGUGUGUGAAGAAGGUCUUCGGAUUGUAAAGCACUUUAAGUUGGGAGGAAGGGCAGUAAGUUAAUACCUUGCUGUUUUGACGUUACCAACAGAAUAAGCACCGGCUAACUUCGUG
rnacentral:rRNA from 1 species